AGCAGGCAAGCGCGGGGUGCUCACCAGGUCGUCCGACGAGGACGGCAGCCCGUGAGGGUGGGAUCCUGGGUCCCCGGGGCCUGCUUGUCU
rnacentral:ncRNA from 1 species